rnacentral:pre_miRNA from 1 species
AGUGCAAUUGCUGGAUUAUACAGUAAGACUAUGUUUAGUUUUUAACAAACUACUAAACUGUUUUCCAAACUGGCUAUAUCGUUUUGCAUUCCCACCAGCAAU